rnacentral:rRNA from 1 species
GAUCGGGUAAGGGGUCAGCGAUACUCGUCAAAAGUGUGCUACUGCAAGGGGAGGGGGGCAGGGAAGAUAAAGCGUUAACGCCGCCGCCGCCGCCGCCGUCCCUACCGUGGCCUCCUUACUGGGCUGACGAUACCGAUGAAGAGAGCUCGCACCACAUGAAGGGAAAGGGAGAGGGUGCGCCACCGCUUGGCCUCCGCUGCACCCGCCACGUUGCUAGCCCCGCUCGAGCCGCCGCGGUCGCCGGAAGAUGCCGUAGGCAGAGGUGGGAGCCGCCAGAAUAGCGAACCCUUCCCCUUCUUUGAUCCCUUCCUUUCCUUUUUUUUCUCCUCAAAUCCCUCACUACCUUCACUACGACCUCUGUCCGUGGACUAUCACUCUACUACCUCCACCUCUUCUUCCGGGUCGGCUACUGUAUCUUCUUCUCCUCUCGAGUUACGACGCCUCGUUUUCCUUGUUGUCAUAUCAUAGUCUGACUAAGUCGACUCUAUAAAAUCAAAAAAACGUUCUGUACACUUAGGAGAGACGCAAAAACGAAAACAAAUCUUAAGUGCUUAAAAGAAGGAACAUCGAUAUACUACCAAGGUUGAAUUAACCUACAAUCAUUACUGCAUGUAUUUGUUAGUUAGAUAUGCCGACAUGGAUCGACUGUUACGAUACAGAGACAAACCUGGACCGACUGUUACGAUUGAGAGACAUAUAAACAUAAUAGCUUUAAACGCGUUUGGAUGUUCUUUUUUUAAGGAGUUAAUUUCUACUAAGUAAAAUGCUCCUUAAACAAAAUAUAAAUCACUUAAAUAAUCCGUUUGUUCCUUAACCUUAAGACGGUUCUUUAGAUCCUCGUCUUCUUCUACGUUCUGAACGCCUGAUCGGUUUACGACACGUCCGCUCUUUUACCAUAGCGUGUCGGGUAUUUCUUGGCGACCAUUAUACUAAUUCCAUACACUUAUUAGACAAAAAGACUUAAACAAGGAUUCCGUUUAGGAGCUCCAACCGUCGUGUACAGGUUAAGCUAGACAAAGGUAACGUGUGUGUACAACAAAAAGUUAAUCGUUGCGUUUAAUCGCUGGCACAGUUACAAUACAGAGACAAAAGAAAACGUUAGACGUUCCUUGAG